GACGAACGCUGGCGGCGUGCCUAAUACAUGCAAGUAGGACGCAGUUGCGAACGGGUGAGUAACGCGUAGGUAAACGCCUAUUAGAGGGGGAUAACUAUGGGAAACGAUAGCUAAUACCGCACACUAGUAGAUGGACCUGCGUUGUAUUAGCUAGUAGGUAGGGUAAUGGCAUACCUAGGCAACGAUAAAUAGCCGACCUGGGAGGGUGAUCGGCCACACGGGGACUGAGACACGGCCCAGACUCCUACGGGAGGGAGCAGUAGGGAAUCUUCGGCAAUGGGGGGAACCCUGACCGAGCAACGCCGCGUGAGGGAAGAAGUUUUUCGGAUCGUAAAGCUCUGUUGUUAAGGAAGCGGUACUUAACCAGAAAGGGACGGCGAACUACGUGCCAGCCGCCGCGGUAAUAC
rnacentral:rRNA from 1 species